UAGUUUCCCUUUCACGACGGCUACAAAGACCUGGAUUUCUCUUCUCAAGCCAUUGAUCUCAGUCCCUUGAAUAAAAAAUCAGAAUCGUCAUCUCCCUCAAAAGAAAGGAGAACUUGAAAUGGCAGGGAGAAAUCGCUUUCCUCGUGAUGCAUUUGAUGGUCGGCGUGGGUUCCCACCUGAAGGACCUUUCCUGCGUGGUCCUCCUUUGCCUCGGCUGCCUCCUCACCCAGCAAUGCUAGAGGAAGAAUUUGAAAUGCAGCAUGCUGAAAUGAGGAGACUUUUCGGUGAAAAUCGUAGACUAGUUGAAGAUAGAAUGGCUUUGCAGCAAGAACUAGGCGUUGCAAAGGAGGAACUUCAUCGUAUGAAUCUUGCUAUUGGCGACAUACGAGCUGAACAAGAACUGCACUCUAGGGAGCUUAUUGAGAAAGGUUUGAAGCUUGAAGCUGAUCUGCGGGCAACGGAGCCUCUGAAAAAUGAGGCUGUUCAACUCCGUUCUGAAAUUCAGAAGCUCAAUAACAUUAGGCAAGAUCUUGCUGGACAAGUUCAGAACCUCUCGCAAGAAGUUGCAAGACUGCAAGCUGAUAAUAAACAAAUUCCUCUUUUAAGAGCUGAGAUUGAGGGUUUGCACCAGGAGCUUAUGCGUGCUAGGACUGCUGUUGACUAUGAAAAGAAGGGUAACAUUGAGCUGAUGGAACAGAGACAGGCAAUGGAGAAGAAUUUGGUCUCGAUGGCACGUGAAGUUGAAAAGCUACGUGCUGAACUUGCAAGUACUGAUGCUAGACCAUGGGGUGCUGGUAUAUCAGGCGGUUCGUAUGGGAUGAAAUUUGGCAGCCCAGAUGGCGGAUUUCCUGCUCCAUAUGGAGAUGGAUACGGGGCUCAUCUGGGUGCUGCUGACAAGGGUCCUUUCUAUGGUUCGGGCUCUGCAUCAUGGGGAGGACUUGAGAAACCUCGUGCUACACGUCGUUGAGAUGCAGAUGGUACUUGGAUUGCAACAAGAAGUGCACUUGCUACUUUCUGGCUGUCCAUUAUCGAAUAUAUGAAUGAGAAGAAAGAUUUAGAUUCAUCUUAUAUGUGCAUGCUUCAUCAAUAGUCUUUAUCUGAACAUUAUGGCAAGCUGACACCUUUCUGUGUAUAAGGCCUUCUCAUCAAAAGGUAAAGAAAGAAAAUCAGGUAAAUUGAUUGAGGUAAAAUUCAGUAAAGCUGCCAAAAUGAAUACGAGUAAAGGCAUAAAGGGAAGCUGAUUAAUAAUUAAAUUAUUUUACCGGGCUUGUAACAAGUAUUGCUGGAAAUGGAAAAAAUCCUGAUCGGAUUAUUACCAUAGCUCAAAACUUUGGAGCUCCAUGGGAUUUGCUGAAAACUUGCUCCUCAUCUUCUAGAAUUUUCACAUUUUCACACACACUAGAAAGGUUGCACACCACGAGUUAUCACCAUCUCCCAGAUCCAAUUUUGUGAUAGAUUUCAGAGCCUUUUUUCUUCUUUUUUUUGGUAUCUUACUUGAGAGUUGCCAUGUAUGAUAUAGCCUAGGAUGCAGAGCCUGUUUUAAACUUGCAACUGUCAUCUACUGGUCAGGUCUCAUUUAAAGAAUUGAUGCGUCUGUAAGGUAUAUAUAUUUCAAGAUAUUAGUAGGUAGCUGAUCAGACAUUUUCACUUGAAACACUGUGGAAGUAACCAAAGAGUUUUGGCAACUGCUCCUGCCUAUCGUAUUAAGCAUGUUAUUACAUUAAAAAGACACCAGACAAUGUUUUAUAGUAAUUUAGUGGGUGCAUUUCACUCAGAAGAUUUCAUCUUUGAACUGAUAUUUUUGUUUAACAGAUUAGGAGUUGUGUGUGUCAAAGGGGUUAUAUGUUAACAAGCAACUUGGUUAGGUUUUUGCUAUAACAUUUUCUUUUGGCACCUUAAAGGUGGCCCAUCUCUACAUUUAGCUUGUGAUAUUAUGAGUAUUCUGAUAAAAAUUGUGAUGUGUUAUGAUAUUUGAGAUAGCCCAUAUAUUGUAGUUGAAGUGUUGGCCCUC